CUAAAUACAAAGUCCCGAUUGCUCCGGCGUUCGGCAAUACGACCGGAGUUAGAAGCAGGGAAGGCUGGCGGUUCAGCGGUGUCCGCGAGUAAAAGUGUCCGCUUUUAGUUCACUGAGGCUGGGUUGAACACCGCUGGCUGUCCGGGAGCUGUAGAAUGCUGCCACCGUGCGGCAGCCAUGUGUAACCGCGACCACCCGGUAACAGUCAAUUAGGCUGCGGUUAACCGCAGCUACUGGGUGGUCAAUUGACGGCACACGCUAG